rnacentral:rRNA from 1 species
UGUAGGUGGAAGCAGCAGUGGAGGAGGAGGAUGAGGUAGCCAACACGGUUUGUUUUGUGUUUUUUUUUUGUUGUGGAAGCCCCCAAAAUAUUGGGACAUAUAAGAAAAGACAACUCUGUUCCGCAGAGUAGCUGUUGACAUUAUAGUUGCGCAGGAACUUUGUUGACUCUAGAGAACCUCGGGCAAAUUGCACAUCCCGGUAGCGGCGACUUUGCAUGCGGAUGUCAUCAAUAUCAACUUUCGAUGCCAGUUUCUGCGCUUACCAUGGUGACCACGGGUAACAGGAAAUCAGGAUUCCAUUCCAUACAGGGACCCUGAGAAACGGCUACCACAUGCAAGGAAGGCAGCA